rnacentral:lncRNA from 1 species
AGUUCCAAGUGGUGGAAGGGAAAGACUACUUUAACUUAACCCACUCCAGGACUAAUCAGAUUUUGGGCAGAGAGACUGUUGUUUGUCAUUUAUACCCUUCCCACCCAGAGAUGCUCCAUUCCCUGGAGUCUGUCAGAGCUGAGGAAGUGGUGGAACAUGGACAGAUGGACAUACAAACGGAUGGACAGAUAGACAGACAGACAGAUGGGCAGGCUGGAGGAGAGACAGACAUAUCCAUCUGGCAAUCUUCCGCUUUGACAAAGUGGAUGAAACAAUUAUCUCCGUUAUCGGCCAAAGCGGUAGACAUGCGAGAGUUGGGGGAUUUCUGCAGGUGGACAGCCUUGGCUAGGAAUCAACACCAAUGGUGAAACGUGCCCAGGAAUGGCUCCCACCUCUCUCUCGCUUGUGACUAUGAGCAUCUGAAGAUGGAUUGUGCAUCCCGACGAGCACGGUUCCGUGAAGAACAAAAAUCAUAGGUCGGAGGUUCAUUAAUCAGUGAGAUUCUCUUUGCAAACACCACCUGAAUGAGUAGUCCCUGUUUUUGGAGAGAUUUUUAAACAAUGAUGACAGUCUGCACCAUGGCAUUGUCCUCAGGCCAAUGGAGCAUUGUAACAUCAAUGUGGUUCAUCAGAAAUGGGUCCUUCAUAUAAAUCUGCUGCUCUGUUAGACAACACCUUGUAUGCACCCUGAAGGCAGCCAUGGGUUAAGGUGCAGUUAGAGGUUCGUGGGCAAGGCAAGAAUUGCGGCUCAUCGGGUUAAAGGGAUAGAAUGGGAAGUAGAGAAGGAAAACUACCCACAAGGAAUGUUAAGCAGUCAAGCCCCACCUUUGGAAGGCCCCUGUCAGAAGUGGGAAGAAGAAGAAGAAGAAGAAGAAGAAGAAGAAGAAGAAGAAGAAGAAGAAGAAGAAGAAGAAGAAGAAGAAGAAGAAGAAGAAGAAGAAGAAGAAGAAGGAGUCCAGCUAGAUACUUCUCCUGGAACCUGCUUGCUUGGGUCCCCACUGUGAAGUGCCCCCUAUUGGCUAG